rnacentral:rRNA from 1 species
UACGUAGGUGGCAAGCGUUGUCCGGAAUUAUUGGGCGUAAAGCGCGCGCAGGUGGUUUCUUAAGUCUGAUGUGAAAGCCCACGGCUCAACCGUGGAGGGUCAUUGGAAACUGGGGAACUUGAGUGCAGGAGAGAAGAGUGGAAUUCCAGCGUGUAGCGGUGAAAUGCGUAGAGAUGUGGAGGAACACCAGUGGCGAAGGCGA